rnacentral:lncRNA from 10 species
GAGCAUCCUCGGAUUUUUGGUAUCUGCAAGGGUUCUGAAACCAAUCCCCCACAGAUAUUGAGGGAUGAGUGUACACCCUUGUGAUAAACUGACUAGAGAGCUCAUUGCAACUUCUUUGCCUCCUCCAAAUCCAACUUAAUUGUUUUCUUAUCUGGUGGCUUCCAACCUCAAAAAGGCUUUUAUCCUUUUCUAAACAAGUUAAUUUAAAUUAAGUUUAGUAGGAAUUUGAGUUUGUUUUCAAGUGUAUGGUACAGUGGCAGGUAUCUGAGCCCUCAGUUAAAGUUUGACCUAUUUAACCCAGCAACUCUUUUAUAGUUAUGGACAAACUAUUUCCAUCUCUAGCCUCUGUUCUUAUGUAAAAUGACCCCUUCCUCUGUGAAACCUCCAGUUAAUUACCAUUUCAUAUUAGCCCACUUAAUAAAGAGAAUUAAAUCAUUUUAAAA